rnacentral:rRNA from 1 species
UACGUAGGGUGCGAGCGUUGUCCGGAAUUAUUGGGCGUAAAGAGCUUGUAGGUGGCUCGUCGCGUCGGGAGUGAAAACCCGCGGCUUAACCGCGGGCCUGCUUUCGAUACGGGCGGGCUAGAGUUCGGCAGGGGAGACUGGAAUUCCUGGUGUAGCGGUGAAAUGCGCAGAUAUCAGGAGGAACACCGAUGGCGAAGGCAGGUCUCUGGGCCGAUACUGACGCUGAGGAGCGAAAGCGUGGGGAGCGAACAGG